rnacentral:lncRNA from 1 species
AAUCAACUCAAUGGUAACCAUUCCUCCUCAUUAGGUAACCUGUCCAAAUUAGAAAAAUUAUUCCUGUGUGACAACCAACUUUCUGGUACCAUUCCAGCAGAAUUCGGCAAUUUGAAAAAUUUGCUUAUAUUGGCAAUGGACGUAAAUCAGUUUUCUGGUCAUCUACCGGAGAUUUGCCACGGUGGGAAACUUAAAAACUUCACUGUGCACAACAAUCAGCUCACGGGACCAAUCCCUAAAAGUCUCAGAGACUGUAAAAGCUUAGUCAGAGUCCGCCUUGAAGGAAACCAAUUCACUGGAAAGCAUAUCUGAAGCCUUGGUGUCCUAUCCCAAAUCUAUAUUACUUGUGGAUCUCUUCGCAAUAACGUUCAUGGGAAAUCUCGACAAACUGGAGAGCUGCCCCCACUGCAAAACCUUUAAAAUGAGGCAGGGAAAACAUCACCGGUCUCAUAACCACCAGAGUUAUGCUAUUCCCUCAACGUUCAGAGCUUAACCUUUCUUCCAAUCAUUUGAUUGGGGAGAUCCCAAAGGAAUUGGGAAAGUUGAAUUCUCUGCUGGACUCUAUCUGGCAACAACCACAUUCCGGCGUAUACCUACAGAACCUUGGAUCCCUGACUAACUGGCAGAAGCUGACCUCUGUCAAAAACAGAUUAAGUGCCAAUAGUCACUUGGAAAUUGGGAGAUUCGGCAACUGAAUAACUUGAAUUUGCGCAGCAGAUAAAUUUUAAGCAAGACAUCCCAGAGCACUGAGUAAAUUAACCUACCACCUCAACUGUCCGCCCUGGAGCUGAAAGUAACAAUUCACUCUCAGGUGAGGCUUACCGUCGCAGAUCGGAAAGUUUUCAAAGUUUUGAGUGGUUGAAGUCUCUCCCACAAUAAUCUUUCUGGUUCCAUUUCCCAAGCAUUUAGACAUGCAUUGGUUGAAAAGCACGUUGAUAUAUCCUACAAUGAGUUGGAGUGUCCAUUCCCACCACAAGCCUUUUCUGAAUGCUUCCAUAGAGCACUGCAAGGGAACUAACAUUUGUGUUGCAAUGUCACAGGAUUGCAGCCUUGCAAAAAUCAGUCCAGAUAACAAAAAGACGUCACGGCAUAACCACUCUUAUUCUUGUAUUUGCUCCCUCUUGGCGGAGCACUUUUACUUCUCGGUGCACUUGCCGGACUUGUUGAUCGCAUUGGAUGAAGAAAGAAAAAGGCAGAAAAAGGGUCCUACGUUGAGGAUCUUUUCCUCCAUAUCAAUAUACAUGUAGAGCAUGUAUAAUGGACAUCCCAAUCUACCAGUAACUUUGAUCCUAUAUAUUGGCAUAGGAAAGGGGAGAUUGGAACUUUCUACAAAGCAAAACUGUCAUCCAUUAAAUGGCAGCUGCUAACAUGGUAGCUGUGAGAACUUCAAUCCUCCUGCGCGUGAUUAUCUUCAAGAAUGCUUCUUGAACUAGGUAAUAGCAUUGACAAAAUGAGGGCAUCGAAUAAGUUAAGCUUUUCGGGUUCUUCGCGUGCCCCACACUCUAUGUUGGUUUAACGAUGUACCUUAAAGGGUGUGCUUGUCUACAAUUUUUGAGGCAGAGAUGAAGAAGCUCAACAAUUAAUGGCCAAAUAGAGUUAAUAUUGUCCAAGGUGUGGCGCAAUCGCUGUUUAUCAUCUAUCACCAUGAUUGCACACCCCCAAUUGUUUUCCCGGACGUAUCAGGCAGACAUUUUUGAUUGACAAGGAGUAUGAGGCUCGUGUAUCAGACUUUGCACAGCUAAGCUUCUGAACUCUGGAUUCCUCUAAGGGGAGUGCACGUGCAGGCACAUACGGAUAUGUUUGCACCCAGGUAACCGUAGUUUUUAUGUGCUCCUAAAUUGACAUAGACUCUAUUACUUCGCAAUCGAUGAACAUUUCUUCUGUUUCUGUCUCUCUUCAUUUUCAGAGAGUUUGCUUAUACAAUGAAGGUGACUGAAAAAAGUGUGAAAUGUAUAUAGCUUUGGAGUGUUAGCACUGGAAGUGAUCAAGGAAGGCAUCCAGGAGAUUUUGUUUCCUCACUGUCACCCCAUCAGUGGGAAAAUAUGCAACUGAAAGAUUAUGGACCAACGCCUUUUACCUCCCUCUUGCUCCUCGAGAGGAGGAAAGUAAUAAUAGCGCAUCAUAAAGAUUGGGCAGUGCAUGCUUGCAUGCCAAUCCACAAUCUAAGGCCAACCAUGGCCAAUCUUUUUCUCACGUAUCGGCCAGAUAUAGUUUAUGUAACCGAAAAUGUAAAGCUAUUUUGCACUAAUGAUGUAUUAGAUAUCAAUAGGUAUAAGCUGGGCAUAUUUAUGUUAUAUAUUUAUUAUUUAUGGUCCACUUAGGGUAAAUAAUAUGACAGGAUCAUGACUAAUGUGACAAGGUUGGUUGGUUGUACUUCUAUACUGUCUUGAUAAAGUUAUAGCAAUUGAAUCGCAAGUUUCAAUAUCUAGGAAAACUUCUGCCAGAGUCUUUGUAAAAUAGUCAGUCAUUUGGUCUAUUUAUUCUCGAUUGCACCCUCUUUUUUUGAUUUCUAUACCCAAACCUUUCUCAGCACAAAACCAUUUAAAAUAAACAAGGCUUCCUUUUCUUCUCAAAACAAUCCCCACUUUAUUCCCACCCGCCCAUAUUCAACCUCCAUCCUGACUAGCGAGUGAGAGGGCGCUCACUUACUAGUUGUGAUACCUAGGUUUGACUCUUAUCGUUGCAAGAUAUAACUUCUCUUCCCCUCCGAACGAUUGGCUAUAAAAAAAAUAAGAAAAACAUCCAAACCCCAGGCCUAGCCUAAUCCCAACCUACCAACGUGGCCACUGAUCCCCACCACCACCCUUAGUUCCUCUCUUGUCGUUGCCACUACUCUACCAUCCUCCCCUAACCACCCUAACCCUUUUCCAACCACUGCUGUCCGCUCUUCAAUAUCUGCCACUGUUCACCUCUCCCUAACCCAUCUCUGCCAUCAGGGGUGGAGACAAGAUUUUAAGUUAGGGGGCUAAAGUGUAAAUUUUUUUUUUCCUAGUUUAAAUUUUAUAAUUUUUUAAAAAUGAGGGGGGCUAGCCGGCUAGAGCCCCUCUAACCCCUGCUUGGUACCUCCCUUCUCUGCCACCUCCGCCCAUUCCAUGUGGGCAGCAAGAGCGGUGUUAUGAUAGAAACUUCUAAUUAGCUGCCAAAUACAGCCCUUUUAUCAAAAGCUCGAUGCAAAUAAGCGGAUUUUUGCUAUUAAAAUCUUGAUCAAAAUAUUAUCUAUGGAGGCUACAAAUCAAAACACAAUACAUAUGAUAAUUGCCGCCAGUAUGUGAACCAAAACAAAUUCCUCCAAGUUUUGUGAAUUCCAAGUCCUUGGCCCACUGAUCAAAACAGAUGCACUACAACCUCAUCUCCCCACUGUCGAUUUCACAUUUCGGGAUCUUGAUUUUGUGUGUAACCAGUAUUUUUUGUCAAUUGUAUACUAGAAGGUGUAAGCUCACUCACAAUUUUAAUUAAGCCCAACGCUUUGUCUAAUUAAAAAUUAAUUUCAAAAUAAUCCUAAUGGUGUCCCUUAUAGUAUAAUUGAACUAAAAAGAUAACAAAGAUAAUUUUAAAAUCUUUCUAAAACGAAAUUAUGGGAAUGGGUAUUCAAUUUUUCCACAAUGUUUCCCGGGUCCAUGUUGCGAUGGGUGCCAAUGACGGAUCGAUCAAUAAUUAUUCUCUGGCCUCGGCCUUAUUGUAUAGAAUUAAAUGUAGAAAAGUGCAGAUGCAUAAUUUUUCUAACAAUAGGCAUAGAAUUAAAUGUAGAAACGGGCAAAUCUAGAGGAGUCCAGGAUACAUGAAGAUAGAAUAAUAACCUAAUUUACACGCUAGAAUUGACAAUUGAAUAACCAUAAAAAUAAUUAGAAUGCAGAAAACAAAAUUACCACGGCCUGGGGUCUAACACCGUAAGGGUGGUGCUAGGGUGGGGUCAGGGUGGUGGGAGUGAGCAUGGAUAGGGAAUAGAGGAGAUUGUUGUUAAACAAAGGAUUAGGUGUGUGAUUCAUGCCAGUGACCAAAUCGAAUGCUAACACAAGUGUUGAUGUCCAAAUGUAAUGCUACAUAACUAUUCUAUUGAACCUUCUGCAUAAUGGUAGGUGUCACAGGGGCAAUUUUUCACUACUAAAAACUCAUGUGCGAUGGCACUAAUUGUGGCGCUUAGUCUCACCAACUUUGCACACAUCUAAUGAGAAGUAAUAAUUCGAAAAGGCCACAAAUGAGUUACAUGACAUCAAUCCCGACCUUUUUGUUUACAACCAUAAUAAUGAACCACUUAGGAUUUUUGUACACAGAACCACUUGUUGCACAUCCCGGCACACUAAGUCUACUUAUAUAAACAUUAACAUGCAUCUAGAACCCCCCCUAACUGCUACGAUAUUUGGACCAAUAAAAUCACAGCUUAUGUCAUUACAAUAACUGUUAAUAACUACUUCAGACAACCUAUUGUAUAGAGACAACUUUGAAUAGAAUCAUACAAGUGUAAUUGCCAACACCCACAACUGCUUGUAACUGCCUUGUACACACACACCCAGCAACAUGCUGAUGCCAGUCCAUGCCCAGUGCAUAGGGCUUGUUGCCUGCAUUGUGCGGAAUGUCGUGCUCCCAUCUUUGUUCAAAGCCCACACAAUCACGCAUUUGGGCACAAUUCCGCUUGUGCCUUGCAUCUUCUCAGCAACAUCACUAUCUUGAACAUUCGCUACCUUGUCAAGGCAUACCUCCCUUAUGGCUUUGCCAUCAGGGGUAGCGCAGGUGCAAGGUGCUACCACGCACGAACCCCGUGCCUGUGUCGAAGGACUAGUAUGCUACAGUAGGAAUGUGGAACCUGAUCCCUGUUGGUAUUGGAAAAUUGGACCUAUUCAAUAGGACUAUCUCAUAUGACAAUGUCUUACCAGCUAGGCAAUUUAAACAUCACUAACUACAAAAAUUUGAAAAAUUUACAUGGGUGGAAUGUGGCGAGGCAUGUAUAUUGUAUCACUAACACACCAAGAAGAUGGACCAGCGGCUGAUUUAGAAAGCAAGGAAGACCUGCUUAGGCGCGUUCAGUAGAAUUUAUGUUUCAAGUGCCUCCACUGUAACGUCUCUGACCUGUUUUGGUGUGUGCUAGGUUUACAUUGGAUGUUUUCGUGGGGGUAGGGUUUACUAGAUCCACACAGUCGCUUUCAUCUAACUAGCUUCUGUCUAAGCACUUCACCAAAGCAAGAGAUGAUAGAAGGGACCUAGUCAAUCUUGUGGCUUGUGAUCAUAACUUUUUCCUUUUUCCUCCCUAGUAAACAGGACCCACCACAGCUUAAGUCUCUCCAAAUGUAAAAUCAUACCCACACAACAAUACAAAGGCCUUUAGCACUGAUGUGUCUGUAAAAAGAUUCCUUAAAACCAUCGUCAAGUAUACAAAAAGAAAAAACCAUGGGGUCUGCCCUUGUUUCCAUAUUCCCUGUUGGACUCUCUGUAGGCAGCAAAGCGGCUUCUUUCUUUCUGCUUCUGGUGAAAGGCUAUGCUCUCCUCAAGUGGAAACUUUCCCUUCAAAAUCGCCAAUAUGGCUCUGGCUAACUUUGUGGGCACGGUCUUUUCAUAAUGACUCCAUUUCAGUGCAAGAACCCAUGCAAUUGGUUUGAGUUUCCUGCAAUUACCGAAGGAGCGUCACCAUAUGGAACCUCAACAACUAAUUCAUUCCGAAGUGGUAAUCUUGAAAGCUUGUGCAUUCUCAAUCAUCUCCUGACUUGCCUUAUAAGGAUGAAGGGAACAACAUCAUCGGUAGCAUAACACCAGAGCUAGGAGAUUCACCUUAAUUACAAAGGCAUGAUCUUUCUUCCAAUCAUUUGAGUGAGGAUAUCCCAAAGGAAUUGGUAAAGUUGAAAUCUUUGCUGGAACUCUCCUGGAAGACUAUCAACUUUCCGGAGGUAUCUACAGAACUUGCAUUUCCUACAAGAAGCUGCGAUGGUGGGCUUUAGUUUCUACCCAAAAAUCAAGCAGCCCUUCUCAGCAAUAAUCGUGUCGCCGAUGUAUGACAAAAUAAGAUCCUCAAAUUGUUUUAGAUUUCCAAGUCCAUAGGUAUAGGAAUGUCAUUCAUGCCAGUGCCCAAAAUGUAAUGCUUACAUAAGUGUUAGUGUCCUAUCUCUUCAGUGAUUCAUAAUUGUUGGAUCAGUCUUUUGACCAUCUCAGUAGAAAACCAAUUCCUGCCUAGUGAGGGCAUCCAAAGCCUUUCAUGGGGCAUGUUCUAAGUGCGGGCAGAGUGGCAUUGUUGCAUCCCAACAAUAACCAGUCUAUUGAAGUUUCCAAGAUGAUUCCUUGCUGGUGUAGGAAGUUUCACAUGGUCAAUAUACAAUGAAAACAUCAAAAUUUUGGAAAAUUAAGAUGACUGGAAUAGGGUGGGGGUGUAUGGAAUAGGGUGGGGGUGUAUAACGUAUCACUAAUGCACCGAGAAGAUUCAUAGUAGGGUGUAGAUUGCCAAGUCCAUAGGUAUAAAUUUCUUCUACUCACUCCAUUUUAACGACACUGGCCUGCUUUUCCGUGUGCUAAGUUUACAUAGGAAAUAUUCACGAGGAUCAGGUUUAUUACAUUCAUAGUCAUUUUAGUGUACCUGGCUUCUUUCUAAGCACUUUUCGAAAGCAAGACAUGAUAAAAGGGGACAAGACCUUGACCUCGUAAAGUCUGUAUAGUUGAUCAUAAUUUUUCCACCCUAAUAAGUGUUAGUGGAAAAAAGGGACCCAAGACGACUUCAAAGUCUCCCUUAACUGUAAAAUCAUAGCCAAAAUAAUGCGAGGACCUUAAGAAAAUGUGUUUAUAAAUUAGAGCUUAAACCAUCAUCAAGUAUACAAAAAAGAAGAAACAUGGGACCUUUAGAGAAAGUACCCUGCCUUGUUUCCAUAAUCCUGUUUGUUCUGCUCUUCCCUUCACCCAAAUCUGCUUCUUCUUCUUCUUCUGAAGAGGCUAAUGCUCUCCUCAAAUGGAAAGUGUGGGGGUUCUUUUUGUAAGAUAAGAGAAAUAAUAGAAAGAAAACUAAAAAUAGACAUCUUCGACGGCGAACGGUGUUACUGUUGGCAUGCUGGACCUAGCUGCAACACAGAAGAGCUGCAAAGGUAUUUGUAAGCUUGCUGGACCUAGCUGCAACACAAGAAGCUGAGAACAGGCCGUCCGGAGCUCUCCUACGGGCCCUCCGACGGUCAAUAUAAGACCGGAUAUGAUAUGUAUAUCAAUGUAAAGAUAAAGCGUAAUAUGUAUUCUCAAACUCAAUUGCGUGUGAUAAGAAAGUGUAUGUAGUUCUUCUAGGUCUCAAUUGCGUACCUUGGUGAGAGCUAGGUCAACUCUUCUUUUAUAAGCCUAGCCGCGGUAGGCUACUGACCUAGCAUGCCCCUAAGGCUUGGUUGGGUAGCUAGUCAUCAAUGUCCUCUGAUUCAAGCAUGGAGCUGUCAGAAGAAAGCCUUUUCGUUGCAAAGCACCUCUCUUGUCCCUCCAUGAUAUGCCUCGGGACCACAUUACAUUGUCACAUCCGACCUAGCUCAAGCGUCUCGACCUGCUCAGGCC